UUGCCACCAGUGGUCAGGUGUUAGGACUCCAGGGAGCAGUGGACAGGAGCUGGGGGUGGCCUGGUGGCUUCCCGGACGUCACAGCUGAGGCCUCUCACGGGGCCUCAGUUUCUCCCACUGGGAAGGCAAAGGGGAAAAGCUAAGCUCUAAGAGUUGAGGGGUCUCUGAGGAGCUUCCCCAACCUGCUCUCUGCCCUUUUUUUUGGUACCGGGGAUUGAACUCGAGUCCUUGCACUUUCAAGGGUCUGCCUUUUUUUUUUUUGAGACAGAGUGGCCUGGAACCUUCUGAGUGCAUGAGCUUCCACACCAGCUUUCCCCUCUGCCUUCUUCCCCUCUUCCCUCCUCUCCCCUCCUCAGCACCAGCUUCCCCUCUCCUCCUACCUCCCCUCCUGCUCCAACUGCCAUCCUUGUUGCUUAGCCCUUUCCCUAACAGACGCACCCUAUGUCCCUCCCCUCCCUUCCACCUCCUCUGCAUUUAAAUGAAGCUCUCUCCAGCACCUCCAGCUCUCUCUCCAGCACCUCCAGCUUAGGAGAUGGGGAAACUGAGGCAGACCCCAGUGCAGAUGUUUCUUUCCUGCUGGGAACAAUUAAAGACCCUCAGAGCUGAGAAGGAAGCAGAUAAAUGAUGGGGGCAUGCAUGCAGAUGUAUGUGGAUCCCCAGUCUGCCUCAUUACUUCACAGGUCCCAUGUGAACACUACGACAGAUUCUAUGAGGGACUUGAGCACCCGGGGAGCUUUCUCCCUCAGAUACCAAGGACCAUGUGUGACCAUCCUGGCAGACAGGAAGUCGAUUCUCCUGCUGACAGUGUCCCUGGAGAGGACCCCAUGACCAGAAGAGUGGGCACCCUCCCCUUGCCGAGAGUGAUGCCCAAUCGAAGAGCUCACAGGAAAACCUGGACUUCCACCCAUCAACCACUAGGAUGCGCUCUCCACCACUUACUGUAAGAGCUGGGACAAGGACCCAGAGCUCCAGAGAGACACAAUUCCUGACCAAUGCCCUGGCUGUAGCCUGGUGAGACCUGAGCAGAGGACCCUGCCAAGGGGUGGCUAGAAAGUGUGAGAUAAUAAAUGUGUCUGUUCA